UUACCAGGCCUUGACAUGCAGAGAACUUUCCAGAGAUGGAUUGGUGCCUUCGGGAACUCUGACACAGGUGCUGCAUGGCUGUCGUCAGCUCGUGUCGUGAGAUGUUGGGUUAAGUCCCGUAACGAGCGCAACCCUUGUCCUUAGUUACCAGCACGUUAUGGUGGGCACUCUAAGGAGACUGCCGGUGACAAACCGGAGGAAGGUAGGGAUGACGUCAAGUCAUCAUGGCCCUUACGGCCUGGGCUACACACGUGCUACAAUGGUCGGUACAAAGGGUUGGCCAAGCCGCGAGGUGGAGCUAAUCCCAUAAAACCGAUCGUAGUCCGGAUCGCAGUCUGCAACUCGACUGCGUGAAGUCGGAAUCGCUAGUAAUCGUGGAUCAGCAUGCCACGGUGAAUACGUUCCCGGGCCUU
rnacentral:rRNA from 1 species